rnacentral:lncRNA from 1 species
AGUGGGAGGCGGAUUUUCUCUGUCCGCCGUGUUGUAGACUGAACUCCGUGGCUCAGGGAGGCCCCGUGGGUGCGUGUGCUGCGCUGUGGCCGCCGCUGUGAGGGGAGCACGGGCAGCUCGGAAGCCGCGACAUGGUGAGCGCAGGGCCGCUGUCCCAGGUGGAGAGGAGUGGCAGCUAUCGGUAGCUCUUCGCUUGUGCGGCGUUAGGCCCGCUGCGGUUGGCGGCGACUAGGUCGCUGCGGCUGUGUCGCUCCGCCCUUCGGCCGCGUCUGCGCAGAGCUCAGGGCGCCGCAGGGGAGGCCCCGCCCUCCGUGUCGGUGACGUCACGGCCACGAAGUGGUUUUUGUGUUGUACCCUGAGGCUGUUUGCUGAACUCAAGGUCCUGCCGGUUCCCCUGAGUUGUCUUCACAUAUUGGUGGAGAGUCCACUUUGAAAUACUUUUGUGGGAGUUGUAAACUCUUAAGUUUUUGCUUAUUUAUGCCUAUGUUGGAUAGUAUUUGUGAAGACAAUUACUCUCCUGAGUUUAAUUUGCUCUUUUAAAAGAACAUUGACUAUUUUGUGAGGUUCUUUUUUUAUACUGUUUUGUAGAUAAAUUAGUUUCCAAAUAUUCGUACACUAUUAUGAUCAUUAAAUUUCUUUGU